rnacentral:rRNA from 1 species
UUGAAAGGGAAACGAUUGAAGUCAGUCGUACCUGUGGGUAAUCAGCCUUUUGGGUGUGAUUUUGUGGAGUGUGAGGAGUUAAACGCCUUCAUGCCUGCAUAUUCGUGCACUUUGGGUGUAUUUACCCGUGUGGUAAGUUAACAUCAAUUUCGGUGGUCAUAAAAUGGCUGGAGGAAUGUAGCUUCGAUCUUGUACUGAAGUGUUAUAGCCUUCGGUAGAUGUGAUGAUCGGGAUUGAGGAUUGCAACGGAUACCCUUCGGGGCUACCUGUCUGAUCUCUGAUCGUUGCUCUGGUGCCGAAAGCUUGCUUACGGUUAUCAAAGUCGAUGGUCAAUAGGUUAGAAUGGGUUAAAUUCGUUAAGGAUGUUGACGUA